GCCCUGCUCGGCCCCCGCCCGCCCGGCACUGACGGAGCCGGGCCGCCAUGAGCGCCAACCCGCAGUGGGACAUCAGCAGGGCGCUGGGGGUGGCCAGGCUGUUCCACCUGGUGUGCGGGGUCCGGGACGCCUGCGUGACCCCGUUCCUGACCCUCUACCUGAGGCAGCUGGGCCUGGCCGCGCCCUGGGUGGGCGUCCUGAUGGGGGCCAAGCACCUGGUCGCCGCCUUCUGGGCCCCCUCCUGGGCCUUCCUGGCCAAAAGCUACCGGAAAAGGAGGGCGCUUCUGACGGGCUCGCUGCUCGGCUCGGCGGGGGCCAGCCUGCUGAUGGCGCUGGUGCCGCCGCCGGACGAGGCUCCCGCAGACCCUUCCUGCAACGCCAGCCGCGGCGCCCGCCCCAGCGCCCUGCCCCCCGCGGCCGCCUCGAUCCCCCGGGCGGUGGGCGCCCCUGGCCUCAGGCGCGCACCUGCUGGAGGUGUCCACGCACCGGCCGGCCGUCCAGCCGGCUACACCGUGGGCUACGCCGUGGGCUCCGUGGAGGGAGCCGGGACCGCAGCCCGAGUUCUCCCUCCCGUGGCUUCAGGGCUGAGGGACACCGCUAGGGCAGGUGCUUUUAAGGUGGGCAGGACCGCACCCCCUCUGCUUGCUGGGGGCACAGCCCCGGGAAGUCCAGCCAACUUGUCAGCAGCCAAGGGGGACGCGGGGGCCCUGGGCCUCUCCUUGGAAGGGCUGCGGUGGACCUUCCUCCUCUCCCUGGGGUCCGUGGUGUUCUGGGAGCUGCUGACGGCCCCCCUGGAGCAGGUGGCCGACGACAGCCUCUACGAGUACCUGGAUUUCGUGGAUGCCACCGACCGCUACGGAAGCCUGUGGAUCUGGAGGCUGCUGGGCCUGUCGGCAGGUGUGUGCGGCAUCGCAGCCGCCGUGGGACAGCUGGAAUGCUUCGUGGCGACAAGUGGCCCACGGGGCGUGUUGCACUUCUACGGCUACUCGGUGGUCAGCACCGUGGCUUUACUGGUGAGCAUUGCCUUUCCUGUCCCCAUCUGCAGGCGACAGGAGCCCAGCUACAAAACCAUCAAGGCGCUGUCGCUGGUAGGAGGCGACCCCCGCCUCAUUCUCCUCACCUUCACCGUGUUUCUCGUAGGAGCCGCCACCAGCGCGGUGCAGAACUUUCUCUUUUGGCACAUGAAAGACCACGGGAGCAGCGAGCUGGUCAUGGGCUUCUCGGUGGCCCUGGGCUUGCUGGGGGAAAUCCUAUUGCAUCCGUUCAAAACGACGUUGCUUAGGAAACUGUCGAGGAUGGGCACGGUGGGGCUGGGCCUGGGCUGCCUGGCGGCCCAGCUGCUCUACUACUCGUUCCUCUGGAGCUGGUGGGCCGCCCUCCCGGCCCAGAUCUUGAGCGCCGUCAGCAACGGGGCUCUGUGGUGGGCAGUCAAGGCCUCAGUGGAGGACCUGGCCACUCCCAGGACAGAGAGACCUCUGGGUGCCAUGUUCCGAGGCCACAUUUUCGGGGGCGGGUCCAGCCUGGGCAGCUUCGUGGGGGGCUUCGUGGUGAUGUACUUCAGCCUGGCUGUGCUGUAUCGGGCCUGCUGCGUGCUCCUGCUGCUCUGGCUGGCCUUGCUCCUAUCCAUCCAGUCCAGACUGCCCCAAGAGCAGAAAAUAAACUACUCGAAACUGCUGGUCAUGGAGGCCAGUGACACGAGCGACUCUGAGCAGGGGACAGAACGGGACUGGCUUGUGAAGGCCAUGAGGGAGGAGUACUCAGAAUAGAUGGGCAGACAGAAGAUCGAGAUGUGCUGAUCUGGGAAGGCGUGGAUGGGGCUAGUGCUGGGCAAAAACUCACCUGCUGAGGACGAAUGCCGAGUCCUGCCUGGGGCUGCAGGGCAGCCUGGAGAGAGAGAAAGCAAGUCUGCGCAGAAGCCCUACGGGAUCGUCUCAUUGCAUGAUUUUCUUUACUUUUACGGUUUCCAAGAGGUGACUGGUACCGAUUCUGGUGCUAUUGGUUUCAGCCACGGCUGGAGUGCUCAAAUUACACCGGCAGUGCCAGGAAGA